UGUAGAUUAAUCACUGAUGGUGAAGAGCUUUAGGGAGUAUGAGGAAAUAAUGAAGGAGACAGUGAUUUUUGAUGGCUUAUUGCAAAUUGCUAGCCGUCUUAAAGCAUGACAUACAUCAACUAUGCAAUACAGUGAUGCUGCUUUAUCAUGAGGCAAAAGAGAACCCUCUUGAAGCUUGGUUCACUAGAUGAGGAGGAAGAAACAUUGGAGGAAUCCUGGACCUGGGACUCACAGCAUGAAAGUAGCUGGAUAGUGAGAGAAAUGAUUAUUUCUCUCUCAUAUUAAUAGCCAAUUAUUAAGAUU